rnacentral:lncRNA from 1 species
GAAAAUGAUACCUUCGCCCUUGAACCUUAAAUUAUUCAAAGGUUAAUUUUUUUCUUUCAGGUGUAAAACAUUCUGGUGAUUAUAUUUGGUGAACAAAAUGCUACCUUGAUAUGUAUUGCAAAACAUAUUGCAGCAAUAAAGAUCAUUACCAGAAGCACCCUGUGGAGGGCAAGGAAUUUUUCAAAAUGAGCUGAACAUGUUUUUAAUGUCUAUGAGAAAUAAAGACUUGUGG